UUGGCUUCCAAGGAGCAUCAGUCGUCAAAUGUAAAACACUGGUUCGUGGGACCUUGGGACGGGCGGUGCAGCAUCAGGAAACCAGUGCCAUGGUGCUGGUGGAACACGUGAGCUUGUCUCUAGAGGCACUUGAUCUUUGGAAGCGUGGGGAUAGUUUGUGGGACAAGCAAGAGGCUAUUUGUUUCCGAGGAGCAGAGAAAGGGGAAACCCAGCCAUUGAACUAACUGUGAAACCGCAGCUUCUGUGGGCCUCCAUUCCUUCCUGAAAACGAGAAAGUGAAUUAUGGUUUCUGAAUGAAAUACGGAUCAGACGUUAACGCAGAAACGGCAACCGCACACCUUUUCCCACCUGUUCGGUUCGUCUGAAGCGUGAUGUGGUCGGAGGACGCCUCGGGAAGGCGGGUCAUGAACCCCCCAGAUACGUGCUGUGUGGCCUCAGGAAAGAUGUUUCACUUCUCUGAGCCUCGGCGUCCUCGUCUCCACAACAAGCAUGCUAGACUGCAGGGGCUUUGCGUGACCGGGUCUGAAUCCUUUGAUGCCCCCAUAACCUGUAACUUUAAAGGCCUUAGCUCCCCUAACGCAACAUGUGUGAGUGCUUUUCUACUGCUCCACUCUGGGAUUUCCCUGUGCCCCGAUUCCCUGGGUGUGUGUAGACAAGGCAAUGUCUCCGGGUGCCGCGGGGUCUCUGCAGGAAGUGGCACGGGUGAGUCAGGGCAUGUCUCUCCGAGUCCGUGAGGAGCCGAUGUCCCAGCAGGCGAGGGGACAAGUGCUGGAGGGGGAGUCCUUCACAUGAGUGGGGAACCUGACCACUGACUCUCAGGGUGUCGUCCAUCACAGCAAAGAGGUUAUUGCCAACGCGUUUCCUCUACCCCGAUGUGGGUCAUUAUAUUUUUCAGUUAUCUCUCGAUUAUCUGCACAGGCUCAACAAGACACACCAUCACCCCCUUCCUGUCUUACCUAGAAGCAUCCAGAUGCAGCACGGCCCUGCCAAUGAGGGGAAAAUCUCGGGGUGCUCUCCAAACAUGGCCUCUCCCCUUUUCCAUUCUAGCCCACAAUCACCUUGAGCUUUUCACCUGACGGCAUUUGCUUGACUUCUCAGUGAGGAAGGGCAAAUGGCAGCUUUAGUCUCCUUCAUUCCCCCGGAUGGGACCUUUUUGGGUUUCCUGAGGAGAAGGAGACAGGUGACUUUGAGGUCAAGUAUGAGGGAAGAGGCCUGAGUUCCAGGUCCAGGGACCUCCCGGCCGGGAUCCAGGUUUGAGUCUGGGGGCGUUCUGCAGCGUCUCUGGCCUCAGCCCACGAGAUUUCAUGAGCACCCCGUGCCCACUGUGACAACCAAAAUUGUCUCCAGAUACCACCAAAUGUCCCCUGGGGUCAAAAUCACCCCCAUUGAGAGCCACUGCUGUAGACCUACUCCUCUCCUUCAAGAAGUGAAGGCCCAAAGCGUCUGCAACCGUCCAAACCACUUACAACUCACCAGGGAGAGACAGUCCUUGCAAACAAAAACCAUGCCAGACCUUGGCAGCUGCAGGCCCUUUGGGGAGCCCCUGGUGUUCCCUGGAGCAGCUCCCCCUCUCUCACCACAGACGGGCCGCCCUAGAUCCGCCAGGAGGGACUCUCGGAGGUGGGGCCCAGGUAGGCCGAUGUCAGGACCUCGAUACAGCCCAGAAUGACGCUUGGAGGGUGGCCGGCAGGCCUGGCUUGCCGGGCUACAGCCUGUGCUCUGGGGAGCCCCAGAGCAGGGCAGACCCAGACGGUUGCUUCUCUGUCAGGCUGCUCUUCCAAAUGGCUUUGGCCGUGGUCAUUUCGAGUUUGGGACACAGAUGUUUCCCAGUUGUCCACAGGAGGAGAGGGGGCUUGGAGCCAGCUUCUCGUGGGACAUUUGAGACCUGCCAACUUCCCAGGUUCGUUGCUGCAAUUGCUCCUUGCUCUUGGGAAACCGGAGUUGCUAAGAGGUGAGAUUAGGUGAGCAAGUAGGUGAUCCAAGUCCUGUUGGGUGGUGGGCAGGGACCUGUUCCCAAGCUCGUGCUGAGACCAGUGUCCGUCCCUGCUGAGAGCCAGGGUGCUUUCCGUGGAUGCCCCGCUCUGCGUGGGAGCCCGUGCUGGGACUGGUGGUGAAUGCCGACUGCACGUGGGUCACCGUGUGAUCAACGCUGGAAUGUGCUCUGCCCACGGCCAGAGGGGAGGAGGCCAGUCUCUGUUGUCCUGUGUCUUGUUAAAACUGUGGUCGCGGAGACCCCUCGGGGCUUGCUCAGCCUGGGAGUGCUUCUGGCUUGGGGACCCGCUCGGUCCCCUGCCUGGUGUGCACGCCCCAGACAUCAUCUCCAGAGCCGGGGUGUACAGCCAACCCCCCAGGGGCAUCAAUGAUCCGUCUAUCUUCCCUCCCUUGUUUGCGACUUUUGUCUGUCUUCAAUGUAAGCUUCCGUAGAUUCCUGAAGUUUUAAAGGAAACAGUGUUCUCCUUUUCGAAGGAGAAACGAUUGAUUUUUUCCUCCUUAAAUUAUGUAGAUGGAGAUCUGUCCGCACUCGGUUAGUCUCAUGUCUACCAAGAUGUCAUUACUUAUAGAAGAGCCUGGGAUUUUCAAGAAUAGUAACGUGUUACCCAGGAUCACCAGGGGAAAGGCGACUGGCGCAUUCGGUAGGCGGAGAUCACUGGACACCAGGCCUCACCUGGCCACUUAUCUAUAAUUCCGUGCUAAUGUUCGUAUUGGUUCUGGUACCGGGACUGAACUUUUCUUGUCAAUGUGAUGUUUUACUCCUUGGCUCGGUGCGGAGGAAAGACACAACAUUUGCAGCCGGGAGAUGUCUCCUCGCUAGCGCAGGGAGUUCAGGCAAGUCCCAGGGCCACCUCAGGCCUGGUCUUCUAUCCACGGAGUGUGGACAGCUUUCCUACCGCACGGGGUGUUGUGAUUGUAACCUGAGGCGAUAGCUGUGAAGAUGCUUUGAAGAAUCAAAAGCACUUUUGGGGCGCCUGGGUG